rnacentral:rRNA from 1 species
UACGGAGGGUGCAAGCGUUGCUCGGAAUUAUUGGGCGUAAAGGGUAGGUAGGUGGUCUCAUUUGUCUGGGGUGAAAGCCUUGGACUUAACUCAAGAAGUGCCCCAGAAACGGUGAGACUGGAGUCCUGGAGAGGGUCGUGGAAUUCCCGGUGUAGCGGUGAAAUGCGUAGAGAUCGGGAGGAACACCAGAGGCGAAAGCGGCGACCUGGACAGGUACUGACACUCAACUACGAAAGCGUGGGGAGCAAACAGG